rnacentral:rRNA from 1 species
CUACGGGUGGCACCAGUGAGGAAUAUUGCACAAUGGAGGAAACUCUGAUGCAGCAACGCCGCGUGGAGGAUGACGCAUUUCGGUGUGUAAACUCCUUUUAUGAGUCAAGAAAAUGACGGUAGCUCAUGAAUAAGCACCGGCUAACCCCGUGCCAGCAGCCGCGGUGAAUACGGAGGGUGCAAGCGUUACUCGGAAUCACUGGGCGUAAAGGACGCGUAGGCGGGAUAUCAAGUCAGGUGUGAAAUCCUACAGCUUAACUGUAGAACUGCACUUGAAACUGGUAACCUAGAGUAUGGGAGGGGGAGAUGGAAUUAGUGGUGUAGGGGUAAAAUCCGUAGAUAUCACUAGGAAUACCUAAAGCGAAGGCGAUCUCCUGGAACAUAACUGACGCUAAGGCGUGAAAGCGUGGGGAGCAAACAGGAUUAGAUACCCUGGUAGUC